CGGGGGCCCGCACAAACGGUGGAGCAUGUGGUUUAAUUCGAUGCAACGCGAAGAACCUUAACAGGUCGGGACAUCCUCGGAACUUGGCAGAGAUGCCUUGGUGCCUUUCGGGAGCCGAGUGACAGGUGCUGCAUGGCCGUCGUCAGCUCGUGUCGUGAGAUGUUGGGUUAAGUCCCGUAACGAGCGCAACCCUUGUCCUUAGUUGCCAGCACGUCAUGGUGGGAACUCUAGGGAGACUGCCGGUGACAAACCGGAGGAAGGUGGGGACGACGUCAGGUCAUCAUGGCCCUUACGACCUGGGCUACACACGUGCUACAAUGGCUGGUACAGAGGGUUGCUAAGUCGCGAGGCGGAGCUAAUCCCUUAAAGCCAGUCGUAGUCCGGAUCGGAGUCUGCAACUCGACUCCGUGAAGUCGGAAUCGCUAGUAAUCACGGAUCAGAAUGCCGCGGUGAAUACGUUCCCGGGCCUU
rnacentral:rRNA from 1 species